UACGUAGGGUGCAAGCGUUAAUCGGAAUUACUGGGCGUAAAGCGCACGUAGGUGGUUUGCUAAGUCAGCUGUGAAAUCCCCGGGCUCAACCUGGGCACUGCAGUUGAAACUGGCAAGCUAGAGUAGGGUAGAGGGGUGUGGAAUUCCAAGUGUAGCGGUGAAAUGCGUAGAUAUCUGGAGGAACAUCAGUGGCGAAGGCGACACCCUGGACUCAUACUGACACUGAGGUGCGAAAGCGUGGGGAGCAAACAGG
rnacentral:rRNA from 1 species